rnacentral:rRNA from 1 species
AAAAACAUUUCUUCUACUGGUUUGAAGUAAGGCCUGCUCACUGUUUAGAUAAAGAGCUGCAGUAUUUUGACUGUGCAAAGGUAGCAUAAUAGAUUGCCUUUUAAUUGGGGGCUGGAAUGAAAGGUUUGACAAAACAAAGGUUUUCCCUAGCGUAAAUUCGAAGUUAAAAUUUUUGUCAGAAUGCAAGAAUUUUAGUAAAGGACGAUAAGACCCUAUAAACUUUUACACAUAUUUAUUUUAAGAAAUGGUCUUUUAGUGUUUGAUUGGGGCAAUCAAAGUAAAUUAAUUUUAUCACAAAACUUUAUACAAGAAUGUUAGAGCCUAAAAAGCAUUAGAAAAAAGUACUUUAGGGAUAACAGCGUUAUAGUCUCGGAGAGGCCAUAUCUAUGGGACUGAUUGCGACCUCGAUGUUGAAUUAAGAAAAUCUUGGAGCAGCAUUCAAGAAAUUUUAGGUCUGUUCGACCUUUAAAUACUUACGUGAUCUG